rfam:Aedes aegypti strain Liverpool supercont1.413 genomic scaffold, whole genome shotgun sequence.
GGCUCGGUAGCGUAGUUGGUAAAGCACUCGUGUAGCAUACAAGAGUAGUGGGUUCGAAUCCCUCCUGAGCAC